rnacentral:rRNA from 1 species
CCCUACGGGAGGCAGCAGUGGGGAAUAUUGCACAAUGGGGGAAACCCUGAUGCAGCAACGCCGCGUGAGUGAAGAAGUACUUCGGUAUGUAAAGCUCUAUCAGCAGGGAAGAAGAAAGACGGUACCUGACUAAGAAGCCCCGGCUAACUACGUGCCAGCAGCCGCGGUAAUACGUAGGGGGCAAGCGUUAUCCGGAUUUACUGGGUGUAAAGGGAGCGUAGACGGCAUAGCAAGUCUGAAGUGAAAGCCCGUGGCUCAACCGCGAAACUGCUUUGGAAAC